rnacentral:rRNA from 1 species
CUUGCCCGGGGACUACGAGCCUCAGCUUAAAACCCAAAGGACUUGGCGGUGCUUUAGACCCCCCUAGAGGAGCCUGUUCUAGAACCGAUAAUCCCCGUUUAACCUCACCCUCCCUUGUUCCUCCCGCCUAUAUACCGCCGUCGUCAGCUUGCCCCGUGAGGGAUAUACAGCAGGCACAAUUGGCAAAGCCUAAAACGCCAGGUCGAGGUGUAGCUUACGAGAGGGGAAGAAAUGGGCUACAUUCCCUGACCCAGGGAAUAACGGAAAAUGGUUUGAAACAACCAUUUGAAGGAGGAUUUAGCAGUAAGAAAAGAAAAGAGUGCCUUUCUGAAACCGGCCCUGAAGCGCGCACACACCGCCCGUCACUCUCCCCAAAACACACAAACAAAUAAAUAAAGAGUAAUUAAAAUAAAGGGGAGGCAAGUCGUAACAUGGUAAGUGUACCGGAAGGUGCACUUGGAAAAAC